GACAUUGUAGUGUAGAGGUAAUGUCCUCGUCCGAUAAACGGAAGUCGUAGGAUCGAGUCCUACCGGUGCUU
rnacentral:tRNA from 1 species